UACAGAGGGUGCAAGCGUCAAUCGGAAUUACUGGGCGUAAAGCGUGCGUAGACGGUUAUGUAAGUCGGGUGUGAAAGCCCCGGGCUCAACCUGGGAAUUGCAUUCGAGACUGUGUAGCUAGGGUACGGAAGAGGGAAGCGGAAUUUCAGGUGUAGCGGUGAAAUGCGUAGAUAUCCGGAAGAACACCGAUGGCGAAGGCAACCACCUGGGCCUGUACUGACGCUGAGGUACGAAAGCGUGGGGAGCAAACAGG
rnacentral:rRNA from 1 species